UAGGGAAUCUUCCACAAUGGGCGAAAGCCUGAUGGAGCAACGCCGCGUGUGUGAUGAAGGGUUUCGGCUCGUAAAACACUGUUGUAAGAGAAGAAUGACAUUGAGAGUAACUGUUCAAUGUGUGACGGUAUCUUACCAGAAAGGAACGGAUAAAUACGUGCCAA
rnacentral:rRNA from 1 species